rnacentral:rRNA from 1 species
CAGCAGCCACGGUAAAACGUAGGUGGCAAGCGUUGUCCGGAAUUAUUGGGCGUAAAGCGCGCGCAGGUGGUUUAAUAAGUCUGAUGUGAAAGCCCACGGCUCAACCGUGGAGGGUCAUUGGAAACUGUUAAACUUGAGUGCAGGAGAGAAAAGUGGAAUUCCUAGUGUAGCGGUGAAAUGCGUAGAGAUUAGGAGGAACACCAGUGGCGAAGGCGGCUUUUUGACCUGUAACUGACACUGAGGCGCGAAAGCGUGAGGAGCAAACAGGAUUAGAUACCCGGGUAGUCCCUGUCUCUUAUAC